AUUUCAAAGCAAAAGCUUUGUUUUGACAUGACAACGAAUAAUCAAGACCACGAAUAAUCUGGCUACCAGUUCAGAGUGUGCGACUGCGCCCUACCUCCGAAGUCAGUUAUGAUAGGCUCCUCCAGCCCCUGUGAUCUUGUUCAGGUUCUUACAGCGGCUGUCAGACCUAACAGGCUUACAUCUUGGGCCACAGACCAGGAAAUUGAUGUCAUAAUCAAAAGAUGGCUACAUUUGGCUCCUGAUAGAGAUGGCGAGAGCAUGAGAAAAAAAGAGGGCAUGGAGAGCACAAUAAUUUGAUGGAUAGAAAAAUGCUGUUCAAGAGCAAGUUGCAUCCCAGUUUGGACUCUGUGUUCACUGUUAAAAGUGCAGUUUUCCAGUGUAUGUGCAGUUACAUGUGAAGUUCACAAAAUAACACAAUAAAUGUAUUGUAAUAUC